GUGUCAGCAGCCGCGGUAAGACAGAGGGUGCAAACGUUGUUCGGAAUUACUGGGCGUAAAGCGCGUGUAGGCUGCUCGGAAAGUCGGAUGUGAAAGCCCUGGGCUCAACCCAGGAAGAGCAUUCGAAACUUCCGAGCUUGAGUCUCGGAGAGGCAGGCGGAAUUCUCGGUGUAGAGGUGAAAUUCGUAGAUAUCGAGAGGAACACCGGUGGCGAAGGCGGCCUGCUGGACGAUGACUGACGCUGAGACGCGAAAGCGUGGGGAGCAAACAGGAUUAGAAACCCUGGUAGUCC
rnacentral:rRNA from 1 species